GCCCCUAUCGUCUAGCUGGCCCAGGACGAAGCCCUCUCAAGGCUUAGACACGGGUUCGAAUCCCGUUAGGGGUACCA
rnacentral:tRNA from 3 species